UGGGGAAUAUUGGACAAUGGGCGAAAGCCUGAUCCAGCCAUGCCGCGUGAGUGAUGAAGGCCCUAGGGUUGUAAAGCUCUUCUGUGCGGGAAGAUCAUGACGGUACCGCAAGAAUAAGCCCCGGCUAACUUCGUGCCAGCAGCCGCGGUAAUACGAAGGGGGCUAGCGUUGCUCGGAAUCACUGGGCGUAAAGGGUGCGUAGGCGGGUUUCUAAGUCAGAGGUGAAAGCCUGGAGCUCAACUCCAGAACUGCCUUUGAUACUGGAAGUCUUGAGUUCGGGAGAGGUGAGUGGAACUGCGAGUGUAGAGGUGAAAUUCGUAGAUAUUCGCAAGAACACCAGUGGCGAAGGCGGCUCACUGGCCCGAUACUGACGCUGAGGCACGAAAGCGUGGGGAGCAAACA
rnacentral:rRNA from 1 species